rnacentral:rRNA from 1 species
GGUUUGAUCAUGGCUCAGAUUGAACGCUGGCGGGAUGUUUACACAUGCAAGUCGAACGGCAGCAUCGACUGGUCUGGUGGCGAGUGGCGAACGGGUGAGUAGCGUAUCGGAACGUGCCUAGUAGCGGGGAUGGGUAACUACGCGAAAGCGUAGCUAAUACCGCAUACGCCCUUCGGGGAAAGCGGGGGACCUUCGGGCCUCGCACUAUUAGAGCGGCCGAUAUCGAUUAGCGAAGCAGGGUAACGGUCACUGGCGACGAUCCGUAGCUGGUUUGAGAGGACGACCAGCCACACUGGGACUGAGACACGGCCCAGACUCCUACGGGAGGCAGCAGUGGGGAAUUUUGGACAAUGGGGGGAAACCCUGAUCUGCUCAUCCCGCGUGUGCGAUGAAGGCCUUCGGGUUGUAAAGCACUUUUGGCAGGAAGAAACGGCACGGGAUAAUACCCGUGCAACUGACGGUACCUGCAGAAUAAGCACCGGCUAACUACGUGCCAGCAGCCGCGGUAAUACGUAGGUGCAAGGUUAAUCGGAAUUACUGGGCGUAAAGCGUGCGCAGGCGGUUCGGAAAGAAAGAUGUGAAAUCCCAGAGCUUAACUUUGGAACUGCAUUUAACUACCGACAGAGUGCCAGGAGGGGAGGUGGAAUUCCGCGCAGCAGGAACAGGUGCGUAGAUAUGCGAGGAACACCGAUGGCGAAGGCAGCCUCCCCGGGAUAACACUGACGCUCAUGCACGAAAGCGUGGGGAGCGUACUGCGGGAUUAGAUACCCUGGUAGUCCACGCCUCAAACGAUGUCAACUAGCUGCUGUGGCCUUCGGGCCUCUGGUAGCGCAGCUAACGCGUGAAGUUGACCGCCUGGGGAGUACGGUCGCAAGAUUAAACCUCAAAGGAAUUGACGGGGACCCGCACAAGCGGUGGAUGAUGUGGAUUAAUUCGAUGCAACGCGAAAAACCUUACCUACCCUUGACAUGUCUGGAAUCCCGAAGAGAUUUGGGAGUGCUCGUGCGAGAACCGGAACACAGGUGCUGCAUGGCUGUCGCCGCCUGAGGCCGUGAGAUGUUGGGUUAAGUCCAUCGAGCGCAAACUUUGUCAUUAGUUGCUACGAAAGGGCACUCUAGAAUGAGACUGCCGGUGACAAACCGGGAGGAAGGUGGGGAUGACGUCAAGUCCUCAUGGCCCUUAUGGGUAGGGCUUCACACGUCAUACAAUGGGUCGGGACAGAGGUCGCCAACCCGCGAGGGGGAGCCAAUCCCAGAAACCCGAUCAGUCCGGAUCGCAGUCUGCAACCCGACUGCGGAAGUCGGAACUGGCUGGUAAUCGCGGAUCAGCAUGUCGCGGUGAAUACGUUCCCGGGUCUUGUACACACCGCCCGUCACACCAUGGGAGUGGGUUUUACCAGAAGUAGUUAGCCUAACCGUAAGGAGGGCGAUUACCACGGUAGGAUUCAUGACUGGGUGAAGUCGUAACAAGGUAACCCUG